UACGUAGGGUGCGAGCGUUGUCCGGAUUUAUUGGGCGUAAAGGGCGCGUAGGCGGUGUGUCAAGUCAGGCGUGAAAGCCCCGGGCUCAACCUGGGAACAGCGCUUGAGACUGGCACGCUCGAGUUCGGGAGAGGAUGGUGGAAUUCCCAGUGUAGAGGUGAAAUUCGUAGAUAUUGGGAAGAACACCGAUGGCGAAGGCAGCCAUCUGGACCGACAC
rnacentral:rRNA from 1 species